GAUGAACGCUGGCGGCGUGCCUAAUACAUGCAAGUCGAGCGAACGGACGAUAAGCUUGCUUCUCUGAUGUUAGCGGCUGACGGGCGAGUAACACGUGGAUAACCUACCUAUAAUACGUGGAUAACUUCGUGAAACCGGUGCUAAUACCAGAUGAUAUUUUGAACCGCAUAGUUCAAAAGUUAAAGACGGUCUUGCUGUCUCUUAUAGAUGGAUCCGCGCUGCAUUAGCUAGUUGGUAAGGUAACGGCUUACCAAGGCAACGAUGCAUAGCCGACCUGAGAGGGUGAUCGGCCACACUGGAACUGAGACACGGUCCAGACUCCUACGGGAGGCAGCAGUAGGGAAUCUUCCGCAAUGGGCGAAAGCCUGACGGAGCAACGCCGCGUGAGUGAUGAAGGUCUUCGGAUCGUAAAACUCUGUUAUUAGGGAAGAACAUAUGUGUAAGUAACUGUGCCCAUCUUGACGGUACCUAAUCAGAAAGCCACGGCUAACUACGUG
rnacentral:rRNA from 1 species